rnacentral:lncRNA from 1 species
UGCAGUCUGCCAGUCCCUGGCAAAAACUCCAAUUGUAAAGGGAGUUCAUGAAAACAGCAAAACUGACAACUCAGCUAAAAAAAUCGUAAGUUUAUAAGUACCAAACAAAAAUUGCAGUAUCAGAAAUUUGAACUUAGUAAUUCUCUCUAAGGUUCCAAAGAAAGUUGGAAAAUAAAAAAUGCACAGCAUAUGACAAAGGAAACAUGACAUGCAAAACAAACCAUAAGGGUUCUGCUUUCAGUUGUAUGUUAUGGUCUGAUAUUGUGUCAGAAUUUCAUCCAAACUCUGGUUCAACUUACAGAUAUCAAGUCAAACCACCAAAACCAAACCAUAAAUCUAUACCUCUUAAUGACUUUAUAGGCUAAUGUGGAACCAGGGGAAAAUACUAUGAAUAUCCCUUUGGCAGCAAAGUAGGGAUUACUAAGAAGCUUCUUGUGCUAGAACAAAUACUAAGCAAAGUUUCACAAUGCCUCUUGUCGGAAACUCAGAGAAAAGUGGCUAGUCUUGUUUGUUGUCUAUCGGUCCAAAUUGCAAUAACUAAGACUCUUAUCUGGCAAAGAGAAUUAAAGGCAAUCAAAAAAUAAGAAUUACUUGUGAUCAGCUUCAUAACUAGACUUCCCAGUGGGAAAGGGCAUUUCAUGCUACUAAACAUUCUAAUACAGUAUUCAAGUGACCUCGCACAUACACUUGCAUGAUACAUCCUUCAUGCUGCACAUGUCAUUUACUCGCGGAAUUCUUUUCUUAAAGAUAGUAAUCAUGGAUUUCGAGAUUUGGCAUAUAAAAUAAGCACAGUGCGAGCUAACAUAUUUUUAUAAGGAAACAAUACGAUCUAAAGAAACAACAAUAAUUUCUAUUUUUCUUCUAUCCUCCAUCAAUGUUUUAAUUUGCACACCUCUUUAAGUGAUUCGAGGCUUUAAAAUUUAACGUGUAUGGGAGCCAAUAUGAACUGAUGAAUCAUCUUUGCAUUAUUGUAUUCAGUAUGUACACACACACACACAUAUAUAUACACACACACCAGGAAACUCAAUAACCAAAAAGAAUUUCAAAAAGCACUUGUAAAAAAAAAGUAUAUUUUCCAAGUAAGUUGAACAAAAUCAACACAUUUUACAUGUCACUAGAAAACUGAUACUGAUCUUAAAUCCUUCGUAACCAAAAUAGUUCUGUAAUAUGGCCCUCAACUGAGAGACACCCUCCUAACCAGAAAUGUCUUCCAACAGACUAUCUUCAAAGCAAGUCAGUACUGAAAUUCAACAAAAUUCACGCAAAUGACAACUAUGCCUCAAUCCAAAACUAGUUAACUUAAGCUAUUCUAGAAGUUCUCUAAACCUAAAGGUACUCUAGGUUCUCUACUGAGACAAAUACUAAAACAAACUAAAAUAACUUCUGGCUAAACCAAAUUUCAUGCAGCGUACCAACACAACUUAGCCUCAAUCUCAAUUAAGAAACAGUAAAAACAAGAAUCUACUGUUGCUACUACUAGUAAGCCUCAAUCCCUAGUUGAGGAAAGCUUUAUGAAUACUCAAAGUCCGCAUUUUCAUUCCAAAAUACCAACAACCAAGUUGACCUUUUCAAGAUUAAUCCAAUAACAAACAGCACAACCAUCAAUCUUUUAUGAGGUUUUAAGCUUAAAUCCAAGUAAACUGAUAAAUGAUGAAAAGUGCAUAUUUUGAGUAUAUUUACAUAUUAAUUUAAGUGUGAGUCGGGGGAGUUUACAUGGUUUUCAAAGGGAAAUAUACUCAUUAUGUGUUUCUUAUGUGUAGGAAGAGUUUGGAUGAUAAAUAAUCAAAAGAUGACAAUUCGACACAAAAAGAAGAGAUGUAAAGAAUUGGGAGCUCGUCCAAUUUCGUGUGUGGCACGAAAAUGGAUGCGAAAAAGGAGAAAAAUGAAAGCACAAAACAGCGAAGGCACGGAUCGCUUCGUGAACUGGAAAAUUGCAAAAGCUGAGUCCGCGUCCAAGUUCGCGCGCUGCACUAAAGUUGACGCUCCCUCCAGCUCUCCUAUCCGAAGUUGGAUUGAAAACUUCCACCGCUCAUCAACCCUAGGUCAUAUAAAUACAUCCUAAAGCACCACUUUGAAGAGGGAGAAGACUUUAGGGAGGCAAGAACACACGAGGAGCAAGGAGAAGAAGGAUUCAACUCCAUGUUUUUUCCUCUUUCUUCCUCUAUUUUUAUUAUUGGUUAUGAAUUCUAGUAUUGUAGUUUUGCACUAUGUUGCUCGGACUCUCCGAAAAUAUCGAUGGGUGUGUAUCAAAUCCUCCAAAAACAGUGUAUUUUUGGAUGAUCCGACAUGGGUGCGGCAAUUGUUUUGGAGAGUCCGUGCAACAUAGGUUUUGCAUACCAUUAUGAAUAGCUAAUUUGUUAUCUAGGAUUUUGAUAAAAUCUUUUAUAGGAUAAACUCUUGUUAUGUUUUUAGAUAAUCGAGCUGUUAGAUUUCUCUACUUGUUCAACUACGUGUUUAUUGUGGUUGGUUGAAGAGCUCUCAAUCGACUGUGCCUAUUUAGUGUGUACUACUGGAGAGAGAGUGCAUAUUUACGUAGUUGUCAAACAACAUCACUCCUAUGUAUAUGAGGGAUCAAUACGGAGAGUUUAAAUGUGGGAUUAGGGAUAACGAAACCUUGGUGCGAUCCGAGUGAGCCAUACUUAGUGCCAGCUAACGUAAUUCGGGAGAAUAUGUCUAGUAAAUUAUGGUAGUUACUCGGUAGAGAAUUACGACACUCAGACCGCUCAUGAUCGGUAGAAAAUACUUAGACGAAAUUACAGAAGACGUGGCGGGAAGGAUUCUGACAAUUGGGGAAAUCAUAACUGGACCUCCUUAAUCUUUUCUCAGGCCCGUAGUAUCUUUAGCUGUUAAUCUACUACUUUAAUUAUUUAGUUAUUAGAUAUAAGAACCUUAAUAUUUAUAACUUAGGAAUUGUUUGAGCUUAUCUUCUUAGUGAUAGUCAACAACUGUAGCUAUCCUUAGUUCUCUGUGGGAUUCAAUUCCGAACUUGUAAACGGGAUUAUAUUUGCAACGACCGCUUAGUAGUUUAUAUAAGGGCAUAGUUGGCGUGACCAUAAAUCAUCACUCAAUAAUAUCCCUAAGCAAAGUGAGACCACAAUAAUAACAACAACAACAACAAUAAUGCCUGAUGUUGGCUAAAAAUCCAUGUUUUUAUAUGUAAAGUGCCUUGCACUUCGCCCUAUUCUUGUUAAUUCUAACGUGUUAUGGGACGACUCGAGCUUAAUUAUGGUGCUUAUAUGUGUAGGAGUCCAUCGGAAGUGAUUUGGAAAGAAUGUUUGCGAUUUGAAGUCAAACGGAAGAAUUUUGAGGGAUUAUGAGUUUGGUGUCCAUAAGGGUGCAUGGCACCAACUAAAACGCCGAUGGCAUCCAAGUAAAAAAAUGAAGAAAAGUGGGUGUCGGCAAAGGCAACAGGCAAAAAAUUUCAUAGUCCAGUUUGGCGCCUCGUCCCAGUUGUGCGCCCAACCGCGGGACUUCUUCUGUUUCUACUUGGAGAAGGUUAUUUCGGUCUUACACGUCUUUAACAAGUAUGAAAAGGUUUCUAAACCUAAUUUGUGGAGGUUGGACAUUAUUUGGAGGCAAGAACACCGUGUGGAGCAACUUUGGAGGUGAAAUACAUCAAGUUCUUCAUUCCUUCAUCCUUUCUUAGUAAUUUAUGUAUGCAAAACACUUGUGAGAUUUUUGUUAUGAUUGCGACCCUCUAUUUUUUAAGGUUGUGGUUGUCAUGAAUAUUGAAGUUUUAUAAUUACAUCUCAGUUAAUAUAAAUUAUCAUCUUUGGUUGUUUCUCUAAUUCUAGUUUCAAUUUGUGAAUUGCGUGGCCACCAAUUUACUCCACUAUCUUUGCUAUGCUUGGAAAAGAUAUGUUUAGAUUAGAGUAGAAUGAGAAAGAGAGUUUGUUUAUGAACUCAUGGCUCGGGGAAUGAUUUUGCGGUUAGGAUGGGAAUAUACCUAAUAGUCUUGCUCAUGUGAAUGUCGUAUUAUAUUUGUUAAUGACAUAUUCAAUACCAUAGGAAUAUAGGGUUGAUACAUUGCGGAUAGACGGAUAGUGUUGUGGGAAUAUGCUCUUUAUAUAAACAAUCCAGUCAACUAGCAACCAUAGAUAAUUCGGAUUAACAUAUGUAGCUACGAGCACAAUAGGAUUGAUAAAUCAAUCACAACUCUGGAAUCUUCAUCUCUUCUGUUUAAAUCCAAAUCACAAUCUCUUGCUUUGUUUUAAUUUAGUUUAUUACUUGUUUAAUUUUCCCAAAAGUAGAUUAGUAAAAAAACCAUUACUUUUUGAUUAACUUGAGCGGCCAAUUGAUUAAGUUAGCUUAGUUAACAAUUACUCUUAGUCUUGGGGGGUUCGAUAUCGACUUUCGAGUCACUUUAUUACUUGACGGCUAUGUAUACUUGCGUGUACUUGAGGAAUCAACAAGUUUUUGGCAUUGUUGUCAGUGAUUUAGCAAUUGAUUGUUUAAUUGAGUUAAAUUUUAUAAGUUUUCUACUCAAGUUUUGACCUUUUGAUUUACAUGAUCUAUCUCAGGUGCUUAUGGAGUGAAUAUCAAGGAAGAAGGAUAAGGGUAACGAUAAACUUGAACCCUUUGAGCACGAACCUGAACGAUUCCAUAAAAAUGAGAAAGCAACAAAAAAAGCCAAGGAGGCUAAAGAAGCAACAAGGGCGGCAGCACAGGUUAAGGAAAGCGAGAACCAACAAGCACCUGCUGGACUUCCACAACCUAUAAAAAUGGCAAAAAAUCAAGAAUUAUUGGUGAUCACAGCUGCAAGGUCUAGCCUUGCAAAUAUGACACAAGCCAUCGUUAAGCCAUUUUGAGCUAAAACAAUACAUGGUGCAACCGAUAUAAUCCCAAGGUCAAUAUGUCGGAUUGCUAUAUGAAGAUCCGCAGGGGCAUAUUCAGAACUUUUUGGAGAUCACGGAUACCUACAAUUUUCCAUAUGUCUCUUUGGAUUACGUCAGGCUAACAUUAUUUCCCUUUUCCCUGCGGGGGGAAGCUAAGGAGUGGUUACAAAAGGAGCAUGUGAUUCAAUCAGAACUUGGGAUGAGUUGGCAUAGAAAUUCUUGAUUAAAUUCUUCCCCUCUCAGAAGACAAAAUCGCUAAGAAGCCAGAUUUGUGGAUUCCAACAAAAGGAAGCGAAACUCUUCACCAAGCUUGGGAGGCGAUUUAAGAAGUUACUCAAAUACUGCUCACACCACGGUCAGAUAGAUGAGGCUGGUUUUGGGCUAUACUUUCACAGAAGGGUUACAUGAAGCUUCUAAAAUGUACAUAGACUCGGUUUCCGGAGGCAUGUGCAUGGAGAAACUAUACGGGGAAAUCUAGGCGUUGCUGAACAAUUAUACUGCAAAUGACCAGAACUAGUACGGUAAAAGAGAACCAAGUAGAACAAUCAGGCGUAAGACAAGUGGUAUAAUCGACAUAGAUGCCUUCACAACUUUGAAAGCCGAUGUAACCAAGAUAGCUAAUCAAGUUGGAAAGCUCUCAAGCACAAGUGCAACGGACGCCGCAUGUGCAACAAAUGAUAGUUUAUUAUGAGUUUUGUGGGGAAGGCCAAACGGGAGACCAAUGUCCUAUAAACCCUUAAUCCAUCUACUAUGUGGGGCAACAAACUAGAUGUCUGAUGAAUCAGAAUGCUCAGUAUGGUAACACAUACAAUCCGAAUUGGAGGAACCAUCCUAACUUUUUAUGGGAGGAAAUUAGAGCAACAACAGGCCUCAAUAUAACUACAAUAAGCCACCGAAAUCACCACAACAAGCAAAGGAAAGUAUGACCGAUAUGAUGAAUAGGCUCUUGCUCAAUAACCAAAAGAGAACGUUUGAUAAUCAACAACUGUAUACAAAGUUUAGAAAUCUAGAGAGGCAAUCAGGCAGAUGGCGAAUAAUCAAACACUAGAUAUGUGGGAGCUCUCCCAAGCAUACAGAAAAAAACCAUCAAGGCAAUGCAGUUACUUUGAGAAAUGGGAGAGAACUGGUAGAGGUACCUACGAAGAAAAAGUAGCCAUCUGGGCUCAAAGAGCAAAGAGUACCAAAACCCAUGGAGGUGACUGAGAAAAACAUACCAGAAUCUGAGCAUGUAGCAGAAAGGGUACCACCCCUUUUUCCUCAAAGGUUGGAAAAAGAAGAAUGAUGACCACAUGUUUCAUAAAUUCCUGGAUAUGCUGAAGCAGAUACAUUUGAACAUGAACAUCCUUUGGUGGACAUGCUCCUUGAUGUCCCAAAAUAUGCUAAAUGGACCUAGUGGCAAACAAAAGAAGGUCAACUGAGUUUGAGGCUUUUGCACUCAUGGAGUAGUGCACUUCUAGGAUCCAACAUAAGCUUCCGCAAAAGCUUAAGGAUCCAAGCAGCUUUACCUUUUGUGUGAGGAUUGACGAGGUUGAUAUGGGUAGAGCUCUAUGUGAUUUAGGUGCACGUAUAAAUUUGAUGCCAUUAUCAGUGUUCAAGCAUUAAGCUUAUGAGCUCAACAACCUACCAUGGUAAUAAUACAACUGGUUGAUAGAUCUUAUGCAUGUUGCUAAAAAUUGAAAGUUUAUAUCCCAGCAGACUUCAUCAUCUUGGACUAUGAGGCUAAUGAGCGAGUUCCUAUCAUCUUGGGACGAAGUUUUUUGGCCAGUGGAGAUGCAAUUAUCAAAGUUCGAGAAGGUAAGCUGAUCAUGAGGGGUGGACAAUGAAGAAGCAGUCUUUAAUGUGUUCUGAGUCAUUCAGUUGCCUCAUCAUUACGAGGAUUUUGCUAUGAUUUCUAUAGUGGAAGUAGACGAACCAUCCCUAGGAAUGAGUGGGUUUAAAGAUGAUGCACUAGAAAAAGCACUGAUAUUGUUCAAUCACGUGGAACUUGAAGAAGAGGUUGAGGAGAUGAUGCAUAUUCUGGAUGCAUUAUGUAAAUAUAUUAGAGAUGAACCAAAUUUCAGCCUCUAGAUAGGUCGAUUGGUGCCCCUCCCAAGCGUUCCAUUGAGGAGGCUCCGAAAUUGGAUAUUAAACCCUUACCCUCUCACUCUCAUCUUCAUUAUACAAUUGGGAAGUUCUAACACUUUACCCCUGAUUGUUUCUUCUCAUUUGUUUAACUUGCAGAAAGAGAAGCUGUAGAGGGUGCUAAAGGAGCACAAGCGCCCCAUUGGAUGGACAAUGUCUGACGUAAAGGGUAUUAGUUCUGACAUUCUGCAUGCACAAAAUACUCGUGGAAGAAGGACAUAAGUCUAACGUGUAACAUCAGCGCCGCCUAAAUCCGACCAUGAAAGAGGUGGUCGGAAAAGAAGUGAUUAAGUGGCUCGACGUAGGUGUUGUAUUUACUAUCUCCAACAAUAAGUGGGUAAGCCUUGUCCAAUGUGUACUUCAAAAGAGAAGUAUGAUUGUUGUAAUAAUGAACAAAAUAAAUUAAUCCCAACUAGGAUGGUAAUUGGUUGGCAAAUAUGCGUAGACUGCACAAAGCUGAAUACUGUUACACAUAAAGAUCACUUCCCCCUUUUCUUUAUUGAUCAAAUACUUGACAAGUUAGCCUAAUAGGAAUACUAUUGUUUCCUCAAUGGCUACUCGGGUUAAAAUCAAAUUGUUACUCGGAGGAUCAAGAGAAAACCACUUCUACAUGAUGGCACUUGUGCAUUUAAGAGAAUGUCAUUCUCGUUAUGUAAUGCACCUGCGACUUCUCAAAUGUGUAUGAUGGCAAUGUUCACCGAUAUGGUGGAACGAUUUGUUGAGGUCUUUAUGGAAAUGGUCCUUUUUUUAUGAAUGUUUAACCAAACUUGUUAAAGUGCUUACUAGGCGUGAGGAGACCAAUCUUAUGCUGAACUGGGAGAAGUGCCAUUUUACGGUGCGAAGGCAUAGUGUUGGGGCACAAGAUGUCCAAAGACGGGCUGGAGGUUGACAAGGCUAAGGUGGAAGCAAUUAAAAAGUUGCCACCACCAAUUUCCAUUAGGGGAGUUCAAAGUUUUCUAGAACAUGCAGGUUUCUAUCGCCGAUUCAUUAAUGAUUUCUCAAAAAUUUCAUUGCCAUUAUGCAGGUUGUAAGAAAAGGAUGUGUCGUUCAGGUUCGACGAUGCUUGUCGGAGAGAUGAAACAAAAGUUAGUGCACCAAUUAUAGUGGCUCCUGACUGGAAUGAACCAUUCGAGCUGAUACGUGAUUCCAACCGUGGUGCAACUGGGGCUGUGUUGGGCCAAAGGAAGAACAACGUGUUUCACUCCAUUUACUACGCAAGCAAGACUCUUAGUCCUGCUCAAAUAAAUAUAAUGUGACCGAAAAGGAGUUGCUUGCUGCAGUUUAGGCAUUUGAUAAAUUUCGCGCUUACUCGGUUGGCACCAAAGUCAUCAUCCAUACAGACCAUUCAGCCAUCAGGUAUUUGUUUGAAAAAAAAAAAGAUGCUAAACCCAUGCUUAUUCGUUAGCUUUUACUCUUGCAUGAAUUUGACUUGGAGAUCCGACACCUUAAAGAAACAGAUAAUCAAGUGGCCGAUCAAUGAGACCUUUCCAGAUGAGCAGUUGUUGCAGUCCAAACAAGUUCGGUUCGGCUAAAUAAAUCCUCACUGACCAUAUUACUCCAUUUAAAUCAUCUCAUGCCAGUAAUAAGCAAAUACAAAUAAUAAGUACUCGAAGUUAUGUAUAUUUUCUAAAAGUAAAUAUCUCGGAAAAGGUUAAAGCACUCCUAUAAAGCAUAGACCUACAGUAAAAGCGCUAAGUCUAAAACAUAUGCUCACUAAUAUCAAACCCAAAUAUAUCUUCCAACCAUUACUAAAAAUCCAAUAAUUUCACACAACAACCAUCCUGCAAUCCCACACUAGCAAGAAGUCUACAAUAUGAAUACUCAGUAUCCAUUUCCCUCCAUUUGAACUCCUUUCAUUCCAGUACUCAACAGCAACUUUCGACGAAACUCAAAAACAAAAAUGAAAACAGACUGAAUAUCAACACUACCAUAAUAACAACAAAAAUUAAAUCUUAGUCUAAAACAAGUUGGGGUCGGCUAUAUGAAUCCUCACUGACCAUGUUACUCCAUUUGACUAAUCGCAAUUCAUCAAAAUAACAAUGAACCAGAUAAAAAUGUGCAAAUAUGAUCCAAUAACACAUACAAGAAAAGGGAGUUUUAAUGUAGGGUGUUAGUACCUAAGACGCGUGCCGGAGGAAAAGGGAUUCAUGAUUGGUGAAAUUGCAGAAAAUCUGUCGAUCAGAUCCAGAAAGCGUACAGAUUAUUUUAACUGUUGUGUUUCUCUACAACUUGAUCAGCCUCAAAUAAUAAAUGGAGUUUUUAGGCUCCCGCCAUUACAGCUCAACAAAAUUGAGAUAUUUUGUGUGAGAUGAAAGGAAGAUUUUAUGGUUGGAGAUGAAAAUUGAAGGAUCUGAGAAGGAAUUCUGGGGUUCUUGGGAAAGGUUUGGAUCUGGAAAUCAAAAAAUAAAAUGAGAACAAGAACAGGACAGAGAGAGAGAAAAGGAAAAGAACGUAUUACAGAGUGGAAAAAUUAAGUUUAGUAUAGUAUUAUGUUUUUC